rnacentral:rRNA from 1 species
GACGAACGCUGGCGGCGUGCCUAAUACAUGCAAGUCGAACGCUUCUUUCCUCCCGAGUGCUUGCACUCCAUUGGAAAGAGGAGUGGCGGACGGGUGAGUAACACGUGGGUAACCUACCCAUCAGAGGGGGAUAACACUUGGAAACAGGUGCUAAUACCGCAUAACAGUUUAUGCCGCAUGGCAUCAGAGUGAAAGGCGCUUUCGGGUGUCGCCGCUGGCUGGACCCGCGGUGCAUUAGCUAGUUGGUGAGGUAACGGCUCACCAAGGCCACGAUGCAUAGCCGACCUGAGAGGGUGAUCGGCCACACUGGGACUGAGACACGGCCCAGACUCCUACGGGAGGCAGCAGUAGGGAAUCUUCGGCAAUGGACGAAAGUCUGACCGAGCAACGCCGCGUGAGUGAAGAAGGUUUUCGGAUCGUAAAACUCUGUUGUUAGAGAAGAACAAGGACGUUAGUAACUGAACGUCCCCUGACGGUAUCUAACCAGAAAGCCACGGCUAACUACGUG